rnacentral:misc_RNA from 1 species
AACGCACCUUGCACCCUUUGGUAUUCCGAAGGGUAUGCCUGUUUGAGUGUCAUUAAAUUCUCAAUCCUUUGAAGCUUUUUGUUUCGGAGGUAUUGGAUGUGGAGGUUUAUUGCUGGCUUUAUUCGUAGAGUUGGCUCCUCUUAAAUGCAUUAGUGGCUUCUUUGAAGGAUCCCCAUACAAUGGUGUGAUAGUAUUAUCUACAUCAUACAAUGGCUAGGUCAUGUAAAAGAUAAAGAAGUUGCUCUCUAACCGUCCUUCAUUGGACAACCUGAACCAUUUGACCUCAAAUCAGGUAGGACUACCCGCUGAACUUAA